ensembl:rRNA 5S_rRNA 5S ribosomal RNA
GCUUUUGGCCAUACUACCUUGAGCAUGCCCAAUCUCAUCUGAUCUCGGAAGCUAAGCAGGGUCAGACUAGGUUAACAGCC